AAGGAGUGUACCAUGUGCGCGAGUCAUGGGGUUGUACGAAACCUAAAGGCGCAAUGAAAGUGAAGGCAGCCUNGGGUUUGCCUAGGUAGGAUCCCCUUCNCACGAGGGGGCGCACUACCSGNCCGUCUCGUCUGCAUUGCAGGGAGGCGGAGCAAGAGCGUACACGUUGGGACCCGAAAGAUGGUGAACUAUGCCUGAGUAGGACGAAGCCAGAGGAAACUCUGGUGGAAGUCCGUAGCGAUUCUGACGUGCAAAUCGAUCGUCAAACUUGGGUAUAGGGGCGAAAGACUAAUCGAACCAUCUAGUAGCUGGUUCCCUCCGAAGNUUCCCUCAGGAUAGCUGGCACUCUUGAUGCAGUUUUAUCCGGUAAAGSGAAUGAUUAGAGGCCUUGGGGACGAAACGACCUCAACCUAUUCUCAAACUUUAAAUGGGUAAGAAGUCCGGCUCGCUUAAUUGGANCCGGNCGUCGAAUGCNAGUGGCUAGUGG
rnacentral:rRNA from 1 species